AUAUAAUCAAUGGGAACAGAACUCUCGUGUGGAACAGAAAGGUAAAAGUGUGUUUGAUUUUGAUUUUCAGUACGAAUACGAACUGUGAAAGCGU
rnacentral:rRNA from 1 species